GAAGUCCAUGGAUUUCUAGAGGGUCUGCUUGAACUUUUAUGCAAAAUGUACACAUGAAGGUCUAAGAUCCAGGUUUUCAUGGAUUCUCAAAGAGGUAGACUGCCUCCAAAAGAGGUGAAGACUGGCAUGGAGAGUGUCAGAUAACCCUGGUGCCUCACCAUGUCCUUAGACGCCCUGUGGUGUCCCCAAAGCACUUCCUGUUGAAUCUCCCCGUGUUCUGGACUAGCAUGAAGUGCCGAGCCCAGUCUUGACACUAGUGAGGGUUUAGUGAGCAAAUCCACGAAAUAGGAAAUGCUGAACUAUCCAGUUCCAACUUUUCCACCACUUAACCCUUAUCUCUUCAUCUGUCAGAAAGAGGAGAGGGAUCUGUGUUUUAUUGUACUCUGUGCCAUUACAGGAUAUUUUUGAAAAUAUAAUCAUGAUUCUUACACAAACAUAAAAGGAACAAGCAUCAAGGAUUAUAUUUAAUUCAUUAAUUAAUGAGGGAACUGGCAAGAUGUUAUGACAGUCUAAGAAGAGAUCUCAAAAUACCACACAUUUAUAUGCAGAUAAGGGAUGCUGAAAUGAAUUUACAAAUAGUGCAAAACUGGCACAGCUGGUCAAUAUUCACAAAGUGAUAAUCACUUGCAUCCGACCAGACAGUUUGCAUUUCUAUGCACAGGAUUUAAUUACAUUACUAUUAGUUUUGUAAGAGUUAACUUCUCUCUCCCCAGAGUUCUAGAAUAGUCCAAGACAAAGGUAGAAAUAACCAGGAUAAAUGUACCAGCCAGUACACACUAAAUUUCAAAGUCUUUCACAAUUGCUCCUUAUGGUGUCUUAUUCUUAGGAUGUUUUCUUUGAGACAAGCCUUAUAUGUUAGCAGCCCCCAAUUCAGUGUGAUUUGGGGGGCACUGAGAAGACCCCUUGUUAUGACCUAAUUCUUCCCUACCUGGUUGUAAGUUACCUGAAACUCCACCCCAGGGGCUUUAGCCUUUGAUCCGACCUUGAUUUAUCCCAGUCAGAACCCCCACAAAGAGCAAUGUUUCCAAGGUGCCUUGUGCACAGAGCAUUUUCACAUCUGACUCUAACAACAACCCAUUUUACAAAUGAUGAGACCUGGAGGCUAGCUCGAGGUGACGUAUACCUAGUGGGGACUUGCACCCAGUUCUUCUGAUUUCAGAAGAUGUCCACUUUCUGCUGUGCUAACAAGCCUUAGAAGGGCAGCAUCUGGGUGAGGUUCUAUUGGAGGCAGACAGAGGACCGGAAAAGGACUCACACUUGCUCACAAUGUGGAUGCACUAGACAUAAUCGACGAAAUGGGUAAUUCAUGACUCACACAUUUAUUUAUUUAAGGACCUACCUUGUGCCAGGCGCCAGGGUCAUAGUAUUGAACAAGGCAGACAGAGGCCCUGUCCUUGGGAACUUAAGUUCUAGUAGGGAGGACAUACAUCAACAACUAAAUACACUAUGAAUUAUUCACUUAAAACUGUUGGAAGUGCUACAAAGAACGGUAGAAUGUGUUGUGGAGAUAUUCUUGAGCUGAAGAGCCUUCCCCCAUCCGGCUUAGACUCCCUCUCUCCCUGCCUUAAGAGGAAGUAGAGUAGAGUAUGGGAAAUCUGGAUGCCACGCAGAGCUGCAGGGCCUGACUUUGUGUUCCUACAGGCAAAACUAGAAGCCCUGGAAGGGGAAGAAAUGGGGAUGCAAUGGGAGCUACUCACCAUCUGAAGUGUAAGAACUCCAUGGAGAAAGACCAGCAGACUCACACACCAGGCCAUGCUGAGGUGCUGAAAGCAUAAAUGAAACUUUCUAAUUCAAAUAAAUAAAUGUGUGUAUAUGUGCAUAGAUGAUGUCUUGAUAAUAAAUAAAUAAUAAAUAUGUCUUGAUAUGUAUUGAUAAUAAAUAAAUAAUAAAUAAAUAAAAAAUGAUAAUAAACAAAGGAAGCCUUGGAGCACAAGGUAACAAGAGGAGGCUGGGUUUGAAAUCUUGACUUUGACACUUGCUAGCUGUGUGACCUGGGGCAAAUCAUUUAACCUCUUUGGGCCUCAUUUUCCUCACCUCUAAAAUGGGGAUAAUAUUAAAGCUAUUUCAAGGGUGGUUAUGAAAUUUGAAUGAGGUAAUGCAUAUGAAGCACUUAAAAUAGUGCAUGGAAAGCAGGC
ensembl:lncRNA